GUUCGAUUCUGGCUCAGAUUGAACGCUGGCGGGAUGCUUUACGCUGGGAAGUCGAACGGCAGCACGGACUUCGGUCUGGUGGCGAGUGGCGAACGGGUGAGUAAUGUAUCGGAACGUGCCAAUGGCAGGGGAUAACUACGCGAAAGCGUAGCUAAUGCCGCAUACGCCCUUCGAAGGGGAAAGCGGGGGACCUUCGGGCCUCGCACUAUUAAGAACGGCCGAUAUCGGAUUAGCUAGUUGGUGGGGUAACGGCUCGCAAGGCGACGAUCCGUAGCUGGUUUGAGGAGGACGACCAGCCACACUGGGACAGAGACACCCUCUACGGGAGGCAGCAGUGGGGAAAUUUUGGACAAUGAAA
rnacentral:misc_RNA from 1 species